ACCAGGUUGAUCACUGCUGCUGGUGCCAGACCUCCCAUUAACCCCCCCAGGCCACUCUGGAUCCUGCAUCCCCCUGAAGUGCAGGCCCCCCCUACCCCCGAAGCAUGGUAAGUCCAAACAUUGGUGUAGCCGGGACCACAUUCCUAAAUAUUGGUGAAGCAUGGGCCCAUAUAACUUGCUGCCCAUGAUGUAGUGUAUAUAUGUACAAACCUAUGUGAGUGGCUUGGGUACAGGGUGCUGUGAAGAUGCAUCCAGUGCCUGUAAACUCAGGAUUUCUGUGCAUGCUUUGUGCUUCAUGGAGAGUUAUGUAUCUGCAUGCAUGACCUGUUUCAUUAUUUUUGUGUGCUGUUACAUAUUGUCAACAGUGACUACUCAAGCCUUCAGUGCAUGUGACCUCAUGCCUUUUUGGUUUGUUGGCUUUCACUACAAGUCUUUGACAAUCCUUUUGUGAAUCAGAUAUUUUAUCUGACCUCUAAACAGUCCAAGUGCAAAAACCCAUUUACUGAAUAAAAUGUUAUUAAAUGAUAAAGUGCAUUAACAUAAUGAAUGCAUAUAAAAUUAGGUGAACUGCAUGGUACCUACUAUUGGGUAUUUGAAAAUCACCAUAACUGAAACACUUUACAACAAACAUGUUCUGGGACUGGUUCAUUCCUUCCUAAAUGUGGUUUUCAAACGGCAGCUAUAUUACUGAUUCUUAUAGGGUGCUGGUGGGUCACUUGGUGCUGGCUCCCUAUAUCCAGCUGCUAUUACAGGUUUCCAGGCUCUUGUCAAGCAGUGGGAAAGAAAGGAGAGAGAGACUACUUGCCUCCAGUAGGGGUUCUUGCUCCAGCAGAGAACAGAAAACAUUACACAGCUCCUUUCUCACACCAUCGGAAGCCAGAAUGAAUGGCCAGGGCAUUACGUUCAGGGGAAUAGAGGACUAGGCUACAGCAAACCUCGUGCAAUGGCAGAGUAGGGGAGAAAGGAACAAUACAAUUGAGAGUGCGAGAUUAAGAUCAAAAGGUGACUACUUUUGGGGGGAAAUGCACUGAGCAUGUACCAUUUUAAAGAAGAUUAAAGUACCUACAUACUUUUGUGAUAUUUUAGCACAUAAGCAAUUGCAGUACUUGCAAUAGGGAUGCUGUGCAGUCAUAAACAGGACUACUAUUAACAAGUUGGGAAGGGAUGGGGUCUGUCAAACAAUUCCUGGAUUAAGAUCGUCAGCACUAUGAUAAUUUGAGAAUCUCUGCCUUACUAUAUUGUAGCUAAACUAAAAGCCAGACCCCUGCAUCUUGAGUUGUGAUUUGGUGACCAUCAGACCACAUGUGAUCCAUGGAGAGUUGGCUCUUUAGUGUGCUGGCUUUUCUUCUUGAUUCCAUCUGCUAAUGCAUGUUAUAGAAAGCUAAGAUGCUGGUCCAAUAAAAGAUAUUACCUCACUCACUGUAUCUCUCUACACCUAGCACACCACUUUCAUGGAAAAACUAACAAACUGAGGAUCAGAUUAUGCUGUAUACAGCUGUGGAAGGGGAAGACAAGAAGACUUCCUUCUAGUUUUGUGGCCUGCACAAGAGCCGGGCAUAUCUGUACUUUGGAAAGUACAGAGGCUGCUCCUUCUAUUUCUCCAGGGUGCACACAAUGCCCUAGAGGGGGAUGCAGGGCUAUUACUUCGCUCCAUAUCACGCCAUCCCAUAAAUGAUAUGUUGCUGAUAUCUAUUCCAGUUAGGUGAUUCCCAAACCUUACCUUGGAGGUGGGGUCAGAGUCAAGGUACUGCAGACUGAAGAACUGCCCUGCCGAAGGCCGUAUCAUCACGAGAUUGCUGGACGAUGGCAUAGUGUGACGUGAAGGUGCACACCGAGGCCCAUGUGGCAGCUCUGCAGAUAUCCUGGAGGGAAACGUUUGCCAGAAAAGCUGCUGACAAUGCCUGAGCUCUCGUGGAAUGAGCCAUGACAGCAGGAGAAGGGACAUUUGCCAGAUUGUAGCAGGUACAGAUACAUGCGGUGAUCCAUGAAGAUAUCCGCUGGGAAGAGACCAGUGCACCUUUCGUCUGUUCUGUGAUGACGACGAACAACUGGGUUGUCUUGCAGAAUGGCUUUGUCCGGUCUAUAUAGAAGACAAGCAGUAUUCUAGCAUCCAGUGAAUACAGUUGCUGUUCUUGAAAGUCGGUAUGAGGUUUUGAAAAUGUCCUGGCUUACAUGGAAACAGAAACGGAACACCACUUUUGGUAGGAAAGCUUGGUGAGGUCUUAGCUGAAUUUUAUCCUUAAGAAAGAUGGCAUAAGGCGGUUCACACGAGAGAGUCUGUAGUUCGGAAACCCGAUGUGCUAAAGUAAUGGGCAUUAGGAAGGCGAACUUCCAGGAGAGGUAGAGGAGUGAGCAGGAAGCCAGUGGCUCAGAGAGAGGACCCAUGAGACAGGAAAGGACUAAAUUAAGGUCCCAGACAGGCACGGGUGACUUCAUUGGGGGAUGGAUUUUUUCCCAAGCCUUUCAGGAAGCGCCCCACAACAGGAUUUGCGAACACUGAGCGCCCGGCCGUCCCUGGGUGGAAUGCCAAAAUGGCUGUAAGGUGAACCUUAAGGGAGCCAAAAGCUAGAUGUUGGUCCUUCAACUGCAUCAGGUAGUCCAGGAUGCACGGAAUUGAAGCUUGGAGUGGGGGCACCUGCCACUGAGCACACCAGAUGGAAAACCUUUUCCAUUUAGCUACAUAAGUAAGUCUGGUAGAAAGCUUGCAGCUUUCCAGGAGCACCUGCCUUACCAAGUCCAAACAGGUGCAUUCAGCCUGGUUCAACCAUGGAUCCUCCAGGCCAUGAGGUGGAGUGAUUGAAGGUCAGGGUAUAGGAGAAGACCAUGGUUCUGUGAGAUGAUGUCGGGACUGAGAGGUAGACGUAGCGGAGCCCGUAUUGACAGAUCCAAUAGGACGGGAUACCAGCACUGGCAGGGCCAGGCAGGAGCCACCAGUAUGACGUCCGUCUUGUCCCGGUGGACCUUGAGGAGCACCUCAUGGAUCAGCAGAAAUGGCGGGAAGGCGUAAAGUAGUUGGCCAGACCACGUGAUCAGGAAGGCAUCUGCAAUCGAGCCUGGGCUGUGACCUCGGAAGGAGCCAAAGACUGGGUAUUUCCUGUUGGUCCACGAAGCGAACAGGUCGAUUCAGGGAAACCCCCAGCUGCGGAAGACAGAGUGAAUGAUGUUCGGAUGAACUGACCAUUUGUGCAUAACAUGAGUAGAAACCCUUACCCCUGAGCUCCCGAGGCGCUUCCUCCACUGCUCCUAGGGCGAGAAGCGCUUGUACCUCUUGGAUGAGAAGUUGCUCAUGAGAGGGGUCCCUGAAGAGGGACGGGGAAGGAGGGUGGGUUGGAGCAAAAGAGGAUAGAAUAUCCUGCCUCCACCGUGCGAAGGACCCAAUGGUCCAAUGUAAUGAGGGACCAGGCAUGGUAGAAACGGGAUAGGUGGUUCAGAAAGGGAUAGCUGGCUGGGUUGUGAACUUAUAGUCCGUCCUCGAGCGCAUCUUCAAAAUGGGUGCUUAGAUCCCGGAGUGGGCUUGGAUUGCCCUUGACCCUGCCCAGGAAGAGGUCAUGAUGGCCUAUGCCGGGAGUAUCUAUUUCUCCUAUGGGAGAAGUCCUGCCUGGGUCUAGGCAGGAAGGAGUGCUGUUGGGUGGGCUGAGGUUUAAAUGGCUUUCUGAGAGUUGCCGGGGUAUGCAUGCCCAAAGAUUUAAUGGUAUUUCUCGUGUCUUUCAGGGUAUGCAGAUGGGAAUUGGUUUGCUUGGCGAAUAGACCUUGGCCAUCAAAGGGAAGGUCCUGGAUUGUGUGUUGCACUUCAGGUGGAAGACCCAAUGAUUGGAGCCAGGCAUUCCGACGCAUGGCAAUGCUGGAUGCCAAGGUGCAUGCUGCCGUGUCCAUGGCAUUGAGGGAACUCUGGAGGGAUGUGUGAGAUACUAGUUUGCCCUCCUCGGCGAUGGCCCCCAGUUCCGUGCAAGACUCAGACGGGAGGAGUUCUUGGAAUUUAAGGUCCACAGACCACGAAUUAUAUCUACUGAGGAUCACAAGUUGGUUCGCAAUUCAAAGUGAAAGACCAUUAGUAUAAUACAUUUUUCUGCCAAAGAG